rnacentral:rRNA from 1 species
CCUACGGGUGGCAGCAGUGAGGAAUAUUGGUCAAUGGUCGGGAGACUGAACCAGCCAAGCCGCGUGAGGGAUGAAGGUACAGAGUAUCGUAAACCUCUUUUGUCAGGGAACAAAGGCGGGGACGCGUCCCCGGAUGAGUGUACCUGAAGAAAAAGCAUCGGCUAACUCCGUGCCAGCAGCCGCGGUAAUACGGAGGAUGCAAGCGUUACCCGGAUUCAAUGGGGGUAAAGGGCGCGUAGGCGGGAUAUUAAGUCAGAUGUUAAAGCCUAUGGCUUAACCCUAGAACUGCGUUUGAAACUGGUAGUCGAGAGUAGGGGAGAGGUAGGUGGAAUGCUGGGUGUAGGGGUAAAAUCCGUAGAGAUCAAGAGGAAUACUCAUUGCGAAGGCGACAUGCUAGAACAAAACUGACGCUGAUGCGCGAAAGCGUGGGGAUCAAACAGGAUUAGAUACCCCAGUAGUC